rnacentral:misc_RNA from 1 species
GAUGAAGAACGCAGCGAAAUGCGAUAAGUAAUGUGAAUUACAGAAUUCAGUGAAUCAUCGAAUCUUUGAACGCACAUUGCGCCCUCUGGUAUUCCGGGGGGCAUGCCUGUUCGAGCGUCAUUACAACCCUCAAGCUUUGCUUGGUAUUGGACAUUGCCAGUUUCUGGCAGGUCUUAAAAUCAGUGGCGGUGCCAUUUGGCUUCAAGCGUAGUAAUUCUUCUCGCUUUGGAGAUCCAGGUGGUUACUUGCCAAUAACCCCCAAUUUUUUCAGGUUGACCUCGGAUCAGGUAGGGAUACCCGCUGAACUUAAGCAUAUCAAUAAGCGGAGGA